UACGUAGGGUGCGAGCGUUGUCCGGAAUUAUUGGGCGUAAAGAGCUCGUAGGCGGUGUGUCGCGUCGGCCGUGAAAACCUGCAGCUUAACUGUGGGCUUGCGGUCGAUACGGGCAUCACUGGAGUUCGGCAGGGGAGACUGGAAUUCCUGGUGUAGCGGUGAAAUGCGCAGAUAUCAGGAGGAACACCGGUGGCGAAGGCGGGUCUCUGGGGCCGAUACUGAC
rnacentral:rRNA from 1 species